UGAGAGUGAAGUAGACCUCUCUGGAAGCAGGUCGGGAAGCGUCUUCGGCCGCCUCAGCUCCACCGGUUCCAUCGUCUGGAUUCUCCCGUGAAACGACGACGCCCUUUCAGAUAACCUUACCCUCCGGCUCUUCUCCGGUUCCUUACGGUUAUUUUUUGAAUUCCUCAUCGGAUUGAAAUGAUCGACCGUGGUAUAUUAUACAGUGAUUCAAAUCUUAAAUAAAUAAAUAAAUAAAACUUCUCUUCGCUGCUUUUUUAGGUUGGAGAGUGAGACAAGGGUUACCGCAAUCGCCGGUGGCGGAAAAACCUAAACCGAGGGAAACCGAGAGCGGGGACAGAGCGACGGCUCUCGAGUUUCCG
rnacentral:lncRNA from 1 species